CAGAGUUGAUCCUGGCUCAGGAUGAACGCUAGCUACAGGCUUAACACAUGCAAGUCGAGGGGCAGCGGGAUUGAAGCUUGCUUCAAUUGCCGGCGACCGGCGCACGGGUGAGUAACGCGUAUCCAACCUUCCGUACACUCAGGGAUAGCCUUUCGAAAGAAAGAUUAAUGCCUGAUGGUAUGAUGAAAUUGCAUGAUAGCAUCAUUAAAGAUUUAUCGGUGUACGAUGGGGAUGCGUUCCAUUAGGUAGUAGGCGGGGUAACGGCCACCUAGCCUACGAUGGAUAGGGGUUCUGAGAGGAAGGUCCCCCANAUUGGAACUGAGACACGGUCCAAACUCCUACGGGAGGCA
rnacentral:rRNA from 1 species